AUGGAGAUUAGCGCUGGCCCAUCUCCAGCAACGUAUCCCUCUUCCAGUAGAAGUGGAAGUGAUGCAAGCGACACAAGCGAAUCCAGUGUGGAGAGUCUCUGUUCCAAUGACAGUUUUUCAUCGGAAGAAAGUUAUGGCCCAGAUCGUAAUGCAGCACGGUACAACAACAAUGGAGAUUAUUCUUGGGAUGUGAAAAUAAAUUCUGCUGCUAAGGCCAUGAAGAAUGUGUUGUUAAGCUGA